AUAAUUGUAGUAUUGAGAGAUAGUGUUCCAGACAUGGCAUAUUUGGCAUCAUGGAAUAUGAAGAAGCUAGGAGGAAGAAAGAAUGUAUGUGGGAAUGUGCUGGCUUUCUUUUACUAGACCUGUAGUUUACUGAGAUGUUUUUGUGGGAAUGUGCUGGCUUUCUUUUACUAGACCUGUAGUUUACUGAGAUGUUUUUGUGAAGAAAAAAGAAAGUGUUUACCAUGGCAACAGUUUGCCAUGAUGAAGUCCCACAUUGAAAACUUUUUGAAAUGAUAACAAGUUUAUAAAGAGACACCUAAUACACUUGGUCACGACCUUACUUGAACAGGAUC
rnacentral:lncRNA from 1 species